UCCAAAUCAAUGCAGAAGUCAUGCACGGCACGUAGAAGUCCCCAUCCACCACCACUACGUGAAGUGCAACCCUCCCCUUCUCAUCUAUAUAAACCAACACCCUCCUGAGAAUUCAGUACAUACAACCGACUUAAUUCCCUCGCCUACUCCAUUCCACCGGUCGCACCACCUUUAGCUCCAUGGCUUUCUCAUCAACAAACAAAUGCCUAUUGGCAGCCUUGACCGUGAUCGCCCUCUGGGCUUCUCACGCGGCAUCCCGCACUCUUACGGACACGUCGAUGAUGGAGAAGCACGAGCAAUGGANN
rnacentral:lncRNA from 1 species